AUUGAACGCUGGCGGCAUGCCUUACACAUGCAAGUCGAACGGUAACAGGUCUUCGGAUGCUGACGAGUGGCGAACGGGUGAGUAAUACAUCGGAACGUGCCUAGUAGUGGGGGAUAACUACUUGAAAGAGUGGCUAAUACCGCAUGAGAUCUACGGAUGAAAGCAGGGGACCGCAAGACCUUGUGCUACUAGAGCGGCCGAUGGCAGAUUAGGUAGUUGGUGGGAUAAAAGCUUACCAAGCCGACGAUCUGUAGCUGGUCUGAGAGGACGAUCAGCCACACUGGGACUGAGACACGGCCCAGACUCCUACGGGAGGCAGCAGUGGGGAAUUUUGGACAAUGGGCGCAAGCCUGAUCCAGCAAUGCCGCGUGCAGGAUGAAGGCCUUCGGGUUGUAAACUGCUUUUGUACGGAACGAAAAGCCCCGGGUUAAUACCCUGGGGUCAUGACGGUACCGUAAGAAUAAGCACCGGCUAACUACGUGCCAGCCGCCGCCGUAA
rnacentral:rRNA from 1 species